rnacentral:rRNA from 1 species
AUAACUGAUGGAAACGUCAGCUAAGACCGCAUAGGUGUAGAGAUCGCAUGAACUCUAUAUGAAAAGUGCUACGGGACUGGUAGAUGAUGGACUUAUGGCGCAUUAGCUUGUUGGUAGGGUAACGGCCUACCAAGGCGACGAUGCGUAGCCGACCUGAGAGGGUGAUCGGCCACACUGGGACUGAGACACGGCCCAGACUCCUACGGGAGGCAGCAGUAGGGAAUUUUCGGCAAUGGGGGAAACCCUGACCGAGCAACGCCGCGUGAAGGAAGAAGUAAUUCGUUAUGUAAACUUCUGUCAUAGAGGAGGAACGGUGGAUAUAGGGAAUGAUAUCCAAGUGACGGUACUCUAUAAGAAAGCCACGGCUAACUACGUGCCAGCAGCCGCGGUAAUACGUAGGUGGCGAGCGUUAUCCGGAAUUAUUGGGCGUAAAGAGGGAGCAGGCGGCACUAAGGGUCUGUGGUGAAAGAUCGAAGCUUAACUUCGGUAAGCCAUGGAAACCGUAGAGCUAGAGUGUGUGAGAGGAUCGUGGAAUUCCAUGUGUAGCGGUGAAAUGCGUAGAUAUAUGGAGGAACACCAGUGGCGAAGGCGACGAUCUGGCGCAUAACUGACGCUCAGUCCCGAAAGCGUGGGGAGCAAAUAGGAUUAGAUACCCUAGUAGUCCACGCCGU